CCUACGGGGGGCAGCAGUGAGGAAUAUUGGUCAAUGGGCGUAAGCCUGAACCAGCCAAGUCGCGUGAGGGAUGAAGGUCCUAUGGAUUGUAAACUUCUUUUAUAAGGGAAUAAAGUGCGGGACGUGUGCCGUUUUGUAUGUACUUUAUGAAUAAGGAUCGGCUAACUCCGUGCCAGCAGCCGCGGUAAUACGGAGGAUCCGAGCGUUAUCCGGAUUUAUUGGGUUUAAAGGGAGCGUAGACGGGCUGUUAAGUCAGAUGUGAAAGUCUGCGGCUCAACCAUAAAAUUGCAAUUGAUACUGGCAGGCUUGAGUAUGUUUGAGGUAGGCGGAAUGCGUGGUGUAGCGGUGAAAUGCUUAGAUAUCACGAAGAACCCCGAUUGCGAAGGCAGCCUACUAAGC
rnacentral:rRNA from 1 species